AAACCCACUAAGUAACUAGGAAUAUCAACCUAGUUAAUUAUGUGGUUUGAAAACAAUAAAGAAAACUUGGUUUAUAAUCCUUUUGAUAACUUUUAAAACUUGAGGGACUAAAAGUGUUAAAUGAGAAAAUAGUUUUAAUUUAAUAAAAAUCAAAACACCAAAACACACACUCAUGUGUGUGUUCUGGUCGUGAUUUACACAGGAGCCAAGAAGGGUUCUUUUCAAAACCCUAAACUCACUAAAAUCCAUCAAAAUCUAAGGGAAAUCGAGUUGGAAAUUAGGGCUUUAACUAAAUUCAUGACCAACCAUGCUAGGAGAUCACAAGUUGACUCUAAACAAGCUAGGUGGGAGCUUGGAAAGGAACGGGUCAAACGGAUCAUGGAUGCGAAGAAUGUUUGCGCGAACGCGAGGUAAGUAAAGCUUACACCCAUUUGUAGUAAACGUAUGUAUUUUAUAGAUGAUAAAUGUGACAACCGAUUACAUUCGAAAUUGAAGUUCCAACACUAAGCGAUAUGAGUCGGAACGAAUAAAAAUGAUCAAAACCACGGUUAAUGGUAAAAUGGACAAAAGGGUAAUUUAGUCGUGAAUCGACUAAGAAUUUAUAAGAUUUCUUUAAGGUUACCUUAUAGCGAAAUUAGUAAUGGGAAAAAGGGUAAAUUAGUCACAUGUUGACUAUAUGUAAGUUGGGAUUAAAAAGGAUACCCAUGGUGUAAGCCAUAACGAGUUAGAUACGUAAGAAGAAUGAUCUUGUAGUUAAAACUUGAAAUGGGUCGAAUGUGUGAAUGGGAUAUUAAAAGCCAUGUUUUGACAUAAGUAUACAUGUUUGGUCAUAAAUACCAAAUGGGUCAAAUGGUGGUGAUGACACCAUUUGACAAUAUCGACUAAUGUUUGGUUGUUAAGUUAAAUGUUCACAGGAGUGAACGGGAAGUGGAUUAUUGCGUUGCUAUAAAGUAGCGGCUAGUAAAAGAAAGGUACAAAACGGGUCUAUAUGUUGACUCAAGCCAGGUACGCAUUAAUUAGAUCAUGGCGAUAUGCGUAGUUGAAUUUUAGAAUAUAAGUUACUAUGAAAUAUAGCGAUGAUAUCGCUACAUUGAAUAUUUGGUCAAAAGAUGGUUAGAACUCGUUGGUAGUCGUCAAAAAGGAAGAAAUUCCGUAGACGAGCCAAACGGGUCGAAUAAUCAAGUAAGGCAUGGUUAUUGUUUCAGAUUAUGAUGGUUUGAUGGUUGAUUUUGAAUAUUUUAUAACAUAUUAGAAAUAUGAGGUUUUAAUGAAUUAGUAUCAUAGAAAACUGAAAAACCGAGAGUCGGGUCUUGGAGUAAUGAUCAAACAAAACAAAACCUGACAUUCCAGGUACUACCGUAAAUUACGGUAGAACCGUAAUUUACGGUGGUUGUGAUAUGGUUUACGGAGCAGAUCUCCUGGUUUACGGUGACCAGACAUUUCCAGGUCUCACCGUAAAUUACGGUGAUACCGUAAUUUACGGUGGAUUCAGAAUCACUUUUUAUAUUUUUAUUAUUUCUAAUGUGGCAUUAAGCCUUGGGAUUAUAUUAUUAUAUAACAACGUCAAAACUAAUGAUUUUAACGGUUUUGAUCAUAGGUGAAUGCCAAGAGUGCCCGGAUGAAGGUCAAGCUCGAUGAGGAACCGAACACAAUAAAAUCUAACACUCGGGAUUAAAGCUUCCGCACGGCGUUACGCCAUAUCUUUUAAACGACGAACUUAUUUAUAUUACGUUGAAAACUUUUAAGUUGUAAGAGUUUUAGAUUACUUGUAUUUUCUAAGAAUACUUAAUCGCAACCUCAUGUUUAUUUUCGUUAUUUAUACGAAAACCUUAAAAAUUAUAACAUGGGUGUUACAAGUUGGUAUCAGAGCCUUGGUUUAAGAGAUUCAAGUAUGGCGGGAAAGCUAUGCUUGGACUUAAACCUUAUGCUCUUAAUAAAGAAUUGGUGUUCGGUUCGAGGCUUGAUCGCAAAUCCGGUAAGUACAUGUAUGUUAAUGGUUUAGUAUGAUUAAAGUUUUGUGAACAACACAUAGGGUUAUCGUGUAAUACACGUUACCCCAAUGAAAAUGACUGGUAUAGUUAACGAAAUCACGUGUGUUGACACGUAUAGUAAAAAGUCUUGUACUACAAUACAGGCGUUUAUUAAUGUCGAAAUUACUAACUUUUGUAAAUGUUUAGUUGAAGGAUAUUUGCACCUGAAGAUGGAGAGAGGGUAACAAGUGAUGGACAUGACGGUGAAACGAUCCGAGGUAUGACGAGCAGAGCAUACUCAUCAAGGAUCGAAAUCGCGUAAUGAUCGCGAACAAGGAUAAAGGCAUGGAAGGCCCGUUAGGGCAAGCAUUACCAGUUGACUCUAAACAAGCUAGGUGGGAGCUUGGAAAAGAACGGGUCAAACGGAUCAUGGAUGCGAAGAAUGUUUGCGCGAACGCGAGGUAAGUAAAGCUUACACCCAUUUGUAGUAAACGUAUGUAUUUUAUAGAUGAUAAAUGUGACAACCGAUUACAUUCAAAAUUGAAGUUCCAACACUAAGCGAUAUGAGUCGGAACGAAUAAAAAUGAUCAAAACCACGGUUAAUGGUAAAAUGGACAAAAGGGUAAUUUAGUCGUGAAUCGACUAAGAAUUUAUAAGAUUUCUUUAAGGUUACCUUAUAGCGAAAUUAGUAAUGGGAAAAAGGGUAAAUUAGUCACAUGUUGACUAUAUGUAAGUUGGGAUUAAAAAGGAUACCCAUGGUGUAAGCCAUAACGAGUUAGAUACGUAAGAAGAAUGAUCUUGUAGUUAAAACUUGAAAUGGGUCGAAUGUGUGAAUGGGAUAUUAAAAGCCAUGUUUUGACAUAAGUAUACAUGUUUGGUCAUAAAUACCAAAUGGGUCAAAUGGUGGUGAUGACACCAUUUGACAAUAUCGACUAAUGUUUGGUUGUUAAGUUAAAUGUUCACAGGAGUGAACGGGAAGUGGAUUAUUGCGUUGCUAUAAAGUAGCGGCUAGUAAAAGAAAGGUACAAAACGGGUCUAUAUGUUGACUCAAGCCAGGUGAAUGCCAAGAGUGCCCGGAUGAAGGUCAAGCUCGAUGAGGAACCGAACACAAUAAAAUCUAACACUCGGGAUUAAAGCUUCCGCACGGCGUUACGCCAUAUCUUUUAAACGACGAACUUAUUUAUAUUACGUUGAAAACUUUUAAGUUGUAAGAGUUUUAGAUUACUUGUAUUUUCUAAGAAUACUUAAUCGCAACCUCAUGUUUAUUUUCGUUAUUUAUACGAAAACCUUAAAAAUUAUAA